rnacentral:rRNA from 1 species
CAGUAGCCGCGGGAAUACAGAGGGUGCGAGCGUUAAUCGGAUUUACUGGGCGUAAAGCGUGCGUAGGUGGUGGUUUAAGUCCGUUGUGAAAGCCCUGGGCUCAACCUGGGAAUCGCAGUGGAUACUGGGUCACUAGAGUGUGGUAGAGGAUAGUGGAAUUUCCGGUGUAGCAGUGAAAUGCGUAGAGAUCGGAAGGAACAUCUGUGGCGAAGGCGACUAUCUGGGCCAACACUGACACUGAGGCACGAAAGCGUGGGGAGCAAACAGGAUUAGAUACCCCUGUAGUCCCUGUCUCUUAUAC